AUUGAACGCUGGCGGCAGGCCUAACACAUGCAAGUCGAGCGGAGCGGCGGACGGGUGAGGAAUGCCUAGGAAUCUGCCAGGUAGUGGGGGAUAACGUCCGGUACCGGGCGCUGAUACCGAUUACUCUUAGAUGAGCCUAGGUCGGAUUAGCUAGUUGGGGGGGUAAAGGCCUACCAUGGCGACGAUCCGUAUCUGGUCUGAGAGGAUGAUCAGUCACACUGGAACUGAGACACGGUCCAGACUCCUACGGGAGGCAGCAGUGGGGAAUAUUGGACAAUGGGCGAAAGCCUGAUCCAGCCAUGCCGCGUGUGUGAAGAAGGUCUUCGGGUUGUAAAGCACUUUAAGUUGGGAGGCGUUACCAACAGAAUAAGCACCGGCUAACUCCGUGCCAGCAGCCGCGGUAAUAC
rnacentral:rRNA from 1 species